rnacentral:lncRNA from 1 species
GCCAAUGUUCACCCUGUCCAGGAUGGCACCUGCUGUCGUCUGGGGCACGGACACCAUCCGUGUCACGUUGUUCCGCUUGACAUCGGCCCUGGAGUCUUCCUAUAGGGGAACAUGAAGACAUCGGUUCAGUUGCCUGUUUCCGCAGCUAUUCCUUGUCACACUCAACGCUGCUUCAGCUGUUCAUGGGACAGCAUAAAAAUACACCUUCCACACUCUGUCUCAGGAUGUUUAACUGCAGUCAGGGAAAGGCUGCAUUUUCAGAAAGACUCUGGCAGGUCUGAACACCCAUUGGCCACACUGGUGCAUGGGGUGCCUGAAAACAGGUGCAAACCCGACUCUUCACCUCCCAGAGUCAGAUUAGAAUUGGAGGCCAGUCUGCUGUUCUAUUAGUGAAUCCUGGGAAGGCCUCUUAGCUUUAAGGGGUGUGUGUGUGUGUGUGUGUAUGUGUGUCCAUUUUUUUUAAUUAAAAAAGUAUUUUAGUUGACACAUUAUUAUGGAUAUGAUUUGAUGUGUUGAUAAAUGCAUCUGUUUCAUGGGGAAGGGGGUGUGGGAAGGAGACGGGACAGGGAGGAUAGGGAGAUGUUGGCCAACAGGUACAAAAUGACAAUCAGAGAGGAGGAAUGAGCUCUGGUUUUCUCCUGCACAGUGGGGUGACUGUUUUCCAAUACUGUAUUGCAUAUUUCAAAAUAGCUAGAAGAGAAGAUUUGAAUGUUCUCACCACAAAGAAAUGAUACAUCUGGGGUGACAGCCAUGCGAACUAUCCUGAUUUGAUCAUUUUACAUCAAGGCCACUUUUGUUGGGACCCGAACCAAGCCCUGAGGUUUGAGACUUGGUCACUGGAAUACCUUGUGCUGGGCAAGUUCCCCGGGGUUCUUCUCAUUUGGUCUUUUCAGUUCUGUCCAAUCCAGAAACUUUUCUUUGAACAAAAUCGUCUCAUUGUGUUCAGUAAGUCUCCCAAAUAUCGCCCAGUCGGGCCGCCCCUGUCCUUUUCUGUAGGGUGGGAAGGGGGUUGGGAGAACAGACAGGAAAAGAACCAAGAUGAAGCCAAGCUUAAACAAAGGAAUCUAAAACACAUGCGGCUGCUGGAAAAAACCUCAAAACCCAUCUUCGGUUGUGAAUCUGGCCUGGGAUGCAGCCACCUCUUAGAGCAACCCCCGCUGCUGCUUGUGCCCUGCUGUGCUACUGCCUCAGUCACUUCCUGCUUGGUCAAGACCACAGCUGCUGAUGUCACAGCUGAGGCACAUCAAAAAGGCUGCCUGAUUCAAAGAAAGCUGCCGGAUAAAUCAUAGAGCACAGACACUUCUACCUCAUGCUCUUAUGGGACUUUAGGAACCAAACAUAAGCACCUAUGGAAAAUGCACGGUGGUCUUGAAAGGCUGUGUGGUCUUUAUCAGAAAAUAUCUGAAUGACUGUCUCUUAUGUCAGUCCUACUCUGCAGGCUUGCUAAGAUGAUAAUUGAAAGGGCUUUUGGUUUCUGCUUUAGAAUCUGUCACUUAUGUUUUGAAGCGUUGUGAGCAAGCGAUGCAGCAGAUUGCAGGGUGAGGGGGAUGAACCUGGGCCAGAAGCCAGAUGUGUUUCUCCACGCACUGCCCUGACCUACAGCCGGAACUGGGCUCAGUGGUUUCAGCCUCAUUUGCUAAGAAGGGCUGGGUGCGUAAUCUUGGCUGCACCUUAAAAUCCCUGGGAGCUUUUAAGACAUAUUGACACAUAAACUGUAACUCACAUGAAACGAAAACACAUCUCUGGGGCUGGGCUGAGCAAAUGCCUUUUUUUUAAAGGCCCCUCAGGUGAUUCUGUCUCAGAGAUGUUGAAAACCAGUGGGUUAGGAGCUCAGUCAUCUACUUUCAGAUCUGUGAUUAUGCCACUAUUAAAUACAGUUGGCUAUCACAUAGAUUUUUAUGCUUUAGCUUGUUUUUUUUUCUCUGCUAUACCAAAUAAAAUCUUUUGAGCUGUUGUAGUUCCAGUCCUUAAAACAACAGUUGUUACCAUACUGAGGUUAAACAUUAGUGCAUUUGCUUAACAAGGACAUUAAAACUUCUUACCACACUGACAUAAUUUUAAUGAUUUCUAUAAUAAUUAAUAAGAAAAUCAAUAAUUGGAUUUUAAAGCAGGAAACUAGGCAGGAAAGUUGAAAUUCAUAUACCAGUUCAAUGGAAAACAUUAAAAUGUAGUUGUGUGAUGCCCAAUAUUCUAUGCUGUUUGUUGGUUCAUUGGUUUCUCAUCUAUUGUAACAGCACCCAUAGUUAAAAAGCACUACUUUUUUUGGUCUGAUAGUUAAAAAGACAACAACAAUCCUUUGCAUGUAAGAAUUUUUUUCUCAUAAUCACAAUUUUAGAGUUUGCACAUAUUCUAUUCAAUUUCAAAAAUAACUUUAAAGAGUCUAGUACCUGCAGGGAAUAUUACAAUUGCAAUCAUUGUUUUAAUACCAUCUCCUCUCCCUCUUCCCUUCCCAAAAGGUAUAAAGACAUAAACAUCAUCUGCUGCCAAAUAAAUCCUGGAAUUCGAGGGCGAUGCUGGGAAGGUACCAACCUUCGCCUUUUCUAUGGCGUUUGCGAACUCUCCUACCCACAGGAAGCAGCAGUGGGGAGAGAGCAGGAGGAAGCAGUCCCCACUAUUGAGCGCCGAAGCUCGAGGUUCCACCAGCCUGGUCUGCACGUGUCUUCUUCCUGAACACGAGGCAGACACUCACCGUCUUUCCAGACAGAACGGGGAUAGGACGCAC